rnacentral:lncRNA from 10 species
UUUAUUUCAUAUGUUGUCUCCCCUCCUUGACUGUCUUCAUGAAUCCAAAUAACCUCCCAGAUUAUGUCUAUUUAUUCAGCAUGUCCUCUUAAUCCUUUUACCUGCAGUAUAAAGCAACACCAAAAUAUAUAAAAUAAUAAAACUAUAGUGCAAAGUAAGGAAAUGAUUGCUGGAAAAAUCAGAAUGGUCAUCAUUUCUAGGUGGGAAAGAGAAUUGUGAUUUGGAAUGGACACAUGGUGACUACAAAGAUGCAGCUCUGUUCUGUUUCUUGGAAACACGAGUGUUUGCUUUAUAAUUAUUUAUUAACUAUAGAUUUGUAUCUUUUGAGCUUUUCUGAAUAUAUGCUGUAUUUCACAAUAAAGAUGUUCAAAAAAUUAAAUGAAAACUCUGAUAUUUUAAAUGCGAGAAGUGAGGCAUAUCGGUUAACUUCUUUGUUUUUGUAGGCAGGUGUUAUUGCACUGUUUGUAUGAUUCAGACCCACCUACUCUGCUGGAAACAAGCAGAAAUUCAACCCACGUUUACCAUGUAGGUUGUUGCUUACUUGCCUUUCCCAGGCAGAAGUGGCCAGUGUUUGGGUUGAAAGGAUCCAGGAACAUCCAGCUAUUUAUGAUAGCAUUUGCUUCAUUAUGUCAAGUUCAACAAAUGUUGACUUGCUGGUGA